GUAGGGAAUAUUGCGCAAUGGACGAAAGUCUGACGCAGCGACGCCGCGUGAGUGAUGAAGGCCUUAGGGUCGUAAAGCUCUGUUGAAUGGGAAGAAAAAAAUGACGGUACCAUUCGAGGAAGGACCGGCUAACUUCGUGCCAGCAGCCGCGGUAAUACGAGGGGUCCUAGCGUUGUUUGGAAUCAUUGGGCGUAAAGGGUGUGUAGGUGGCCAUGUAAGUCAGGUGUGAAAGCCCCGGGCUCAACCCGGGAAGUGCACUUGAUACUGCGUGGCUUGAGUACCGAAGAGGGUAGUGGAAUUCCAGGUGUAGUGGUGAAAUACGUAGAUAUCUGGAGGAACACCGGUGGCGAAGGCGGCUACCUGGUCGAGUACUGACACUGAGACACGAAAGCAUGGGGAUCAAACAGGAUUAGAAACCCCUGUAGUCC
rnacentral:rRNA from 1 species